rnacentral:rRNA from 1 species
GAUGAACGCUGACAGAAUGCUUAACACAUGCAAGUCGAUUCGAUUUACCUUCGGGUAUUGAGGAUGGCGGACGGGUGAGUAACGCGUAAGGAACUUGCCUCUUGGACUGGGACAACUGUUGGAAACGACAGCUAAUACCGGAUAUUAUGAGAUUCUCGCAUGGGAAACUUAUGAAAGCUAUAUGCGCCAAGAGAGAGCCUUGCGUUCCAUUAGCUAGUUGGUGGGGUAAUGGCCCACCAAGGCGACGAUGGAUAGCCGGCCUGAGAGGGUGAACGGCCACAAGGGGACUGAGACACGGCCCUUACUCCUACGGGAGGCAGCAGUGGGGAAUAUUGGACAAUGGGCCACAAGCCUGAUCCAGCAAUUCUGUGUGCACGAUGAAGGUCUUCGGAUCGUAAAGUGCUUUCAGUUGGGAAGAAGAAAGUGACGGUACCAACAGAAGAAGCGACGGCUAAAUACGUGC